AUUUGUUUCCUUAUUUUUUUUUUUUUUUUUUUUUUGGCACAUCAGGAUGAUCCUCUUGUUUUCCCCAUAAUCAGGCCCCACAGAACUACAUGCCUAUGCACUAACAAUUUAAAAUAAACAAAGCGUGGUUUUCAGGUGACCGCUUUGCCUCAAUUUGCUUGCACACUGUCCCAAGGGUGCCUAUGGAUCUGGCUGCACUUCAGAAUGUCAGUGUGUGGAGAAGAAUACCCUGGAAUGCAGUGCCAAAAAUGGUAGUUGCACCUGCAAAUCUGGUUACCAAGGCAACAGAUGCCAGAAAGUCCGCCCAGAUGGCCUCUAGGGACCAGAGUGCUGGUUCUCCUCUGCACCCUGUGAAAAUGGAGGUCAGUGCAACAACAACAACAACAACAACAAAAAACUGGAAAUUGUGACUGCACUCCUGGUUACACAGGAAAAUCCUGUACCAUAUGGACUUGUAUUUGUGAUUCCUGCUUUAGAAAGGUGGAAAAGACAAGAGAACUCAGAUAAAAAAUUCCUGAGAAGGAUGGUUUUCAAGAAGAAAAGAUAAUCACUGUCUCACCUGCUGUUUAAACAAAGCAAAAAAUGGAGGACUCAUGAAGGAAUUUAGAUUUAGAACUUGAUAAUUUGGAGAAAAAAAGAAAACACAUUCAGUGGAAAGAGAUUGGAAUGUAUGUUGGUGGUAAGAAACAAAUGGAAAGUAAGGAAAAAUUUUUCAAGUUUGAUAUUGAAGCAAACAAAAUGGCUAAUCUGUUUUUUUCUCUAUCAAUGGAAUGUUUAUAAAGUCUUCUUUGACUCUGCAAAAUACAUUAUCUCUCCUGGGCAUCAACCUGUGUCAUUUGCCUAUUGAUGAAUCUUAUUCAAUCUCAAUCUCUCACAUUUUAGAAGGUCAGGUCCAAUGUAAUCAUAGUAGGAAGGAUUCUAAUCCAUGAGAGUUAAUAAUAUCGAAAUGAGGGCUGGGUGCGGUGGCUCAUGCCUGUAAUCCCAGCACUUUCGGAGGCCAAGGCGGGCAGAUCACAAGGUCAGGAGAUCAAGACCAUCCUGACCAACAUGGUGAAACCCCGUCUCUACUAAAAAUACAAAAAUUAGCUGGGCAUGGUGGAGUGUGCCUAUAAUCCUAGCUACUCAGGAGGCUGAGGCAGGAGAAUCACUUGAACCAGGGAGCUGGAGGUUGCGGUGAGCUGGGAUUGCACCACUGCACUCCAGCCUGAUGAGAGAGAGACUGUCUCAAAAAAAAAAAAAAAAAAAAAAAAAAAAAUCGAAAUGAAAUAAAUAUGGAAAAUUUUCUUUCACAUAAAGAUUGGCAAAGAAUAUUUUAAAUAAUUGUACUGAUAGAUACUUCUGAAAGUAACUGUUUUAACUCAUUUAAUUUUUUUUCUAUUGUCAAGUCUUAAUUUAUCUUUCUCCCUCUCAAUCUCUCUCCCCCUCUCCC
rnacentral:lncRNA from 1 species